UAAUUUAGAAUUAUCUUGUGUAUGUAGUGUUUGGUAUUCUAUGUUAAUUCUUAUUAUAUAUUGCGUUGUAUGUGGGUGGUGUUGUUCUUUCUCUGCUUGGUAUCUCUGCUUGGUUGAGAGAAUAAAGUAAAUGGUAAGGUGAAGUAUUUCUGGGUUGGUUGGGUAAAGGUAGAAGGGAUUCUUUAAUAAGGGAUAAAGUUGAAGUGUGGUUGGUGGGAGCAAAGAGGAGAGGAAUGACUUGUGGAGGAACCAUGGAUUUAAUAUGACGUUACGUGAGAGUGAGGAUAGGAUUGUGGACAAUGAUGAUUUGGUAAGGAUGACUCUUUCGACCGUAUGGUGUGAGAAGAUGAUGAUUUGCUAGUGAUGACUCUUUGGGUCGUGUCAUGCGAGAAAGAAAUCCUCUUCGGCCGUGUGAUGCGGGAAGAUAGUGAUUUGCUAGUGAUGACUCUUUUGGCCGUGUGAUGCGAGAAAGAAAUUCUCUUCGACCGUGUGAUGCAGGAAGAUGAUGGUUUAAUAGUGAUAACUCUUUUGGCUGUGUGAUGUGGAAAAGAGGUUCUUGUUGGUCGUGUGAUGUGGGAGGACAAUGUCGUAUGACUCGUAAGGAAUUGAUUAUGGGGAUUAGGUGGUGUGGUAGUCUAAAGGGACAAUGUGGUGAGCUUAUUACUGUGAUGUUAAUGUUAUUAUGUUAAUGUUGUGGUGAUAUAUGUUUAAGAUUUGGUUAUUAAUGUGGUUAAUAUAAUUGUAUAUUGUAUGUUACGAUAAUUCUGGUUGCUCACCCUGAAAGUUGUGGUUAUGGUUUCC
rnacentral:lncRNA from 1 species